rnacentral:tRNA from 1 species
UUCCUCGUGGCCCAAUGGUCACGGCGUCUGGCUACGAACCAGAAGAUUCCAGGUUCAAGUCCUGGCGGGGGAA